rnacentral:lncRNA from 1 species
GCUGGUCAUGCCCAUAUCCUUGAUUAGGAGGAACAAUAGUUUCCAAGAAACCCUAGCAAAUUCUGCUUAUGUUUCUUUAUUGCCUGUUCAGCCUCUAGAGGGAAAGCAACAGGGCCAAGGGGAAUUUGGACUGAGACUCAGGUCAGGUCAGUUAGCAGUAUUAGCCACACUGACCCAUUGAUUCCUUCCUUUUUAUAGGCAGAUGACUAUGCUUUUGACUACUGCAUUAUAGAAAAAAUGAUGAGGACCCUAACAAUCUCCUGCCACUAAAUUUUCCAACUUAUUUGUACUCCACCCAUUUUUCCUCUCUCCUUUCUCUCAGGAUAAAAGAGAGCUAUCUCCUUUGAUCCUUACCCUUCCUUCCCAUGUAUUUUAGUCACCUUUUCUGUUGCCAUGACAAAGCUUAACAAGAACAAUUUUAGAGGAGGAAAAGUUUAUUUGGAGGCUCAUGGUUUCAGAGGUCUCAGUCCGUGGACAACCAACUCCAUUGCUCUGGGCACGAAAUGUGACAGAACAUCAUGGCAGAAGAGAGUAGUGGAGGAAAGUAGCUCAGGACAUGGCCACCAGGAAGCAGAGAGUUUUCCUCUCACCAAGAACAAAAUAUAUAACCCAAAGCUGUAUCCCAGCAACCCACCUACCCCAGCCACACCCUACCUGCCUAUGGUUACCACCCAGUUAAUCCCUAUCAGGGGAUUAAUGCAUUAAGACUCUCACCCAUUAUUUUACCUCUAAACUUUUUUGCAUUGUUUCACAUAUAAAUUUUUGAAGGACACAUCACAGCUAAACCAUAACACCAGUCCAUAGGGCUUUGGCUGCCACUGCUCAUUCUCUCUCUUCUGCUUCUUUACCCACUGUCUUCCUUUAGGAUCCAUCACUUCAACAUUUAAAAAUGCUGUUGUGAUCUCCCUCCAACUUAAACUUUUCCAGCAUAUAUCUGCAAAAUCAAGGUGGUAGCUAGUCUCUGAGUGAGGGGACACUUAAUGGUUCUUGAUUUUGCCCUCAUCAUAUACAUUCAUUUCUUUCUACCAGAAUAAUCUUUCUAAAGCACAAAUGGUAUCAUGUUCUUUCUUGCUUAAAGUGGGUUUCCCACUGCUUUUAGGAUAGAGUGAGACCUGCUUUAUGAGUUUUUGAGGUUUUUUAUGAUCUGAAUACAAUGGCACUUACAAUUUUCUCUCUUGCCAUUGGCUUCUUUCAUGCUACAGCUAUUUUGAAUGAUCAGAAGUCCUUCUCCUGACUCUGCACCUUAAUGUGUCUUUUUUGAACUUCUAGACAGCUUCCACAUGUCAUCACACCCCCUUGUAUUCCUCAUGUUCUCAUUAAAGUGC